AUUGAACGCUGGCGGCAUGCCUUACACAUGCAAGUCGAACGGCAGCACGGGAGCAAUCCUGGUGGCGAGUGGCGAACGGGUGAGUAAUAUAUCGGAACGUGCCCAGUCGUGGGGAUAACGUAGCGAAAGCUACGCUAAUACCGCAUACGAUCUAUGGAUGAAAGCGGGGGAUCGCAAGGCCUCGCGCGAUUGGAGCGGCCGAUAUCAGAUUAGGUAGUUGGUGAGGUAAAGGCUCACCAAGCCGACGAUCUGUAGCUGGUCUGAGAGGACGACCAGCCACACUGGGACUGAGACACGGCCCAGACUCCUACGGGAGGCAGCAGNGGGGAAUUUUGGACAAUGGCGGCAAGCCUGAUCCAGCAAUGCCGCGU
rnacentral:rRNA from 1 species